AUUGAACGCUGGCGGCAUGCCUUACACAUGCAAGUCGAACGGUAACGGGCCUUCGGGUGCCGACGAGUGGCGAACGGGUGGGUAAUACAUCGGAACGUGCCCGAUCGUGGGGGAUAACGAGGCGAAAGCUUUGCUAAUACCGCAUACGAUCUACGGAUGAAAGCGGGGGACCGCAAGGCCUUGCGCGGACGGAGCGGGCGAUGGCGGAGUAGGUAGUUGGUGGGGUAAAAGCGUACCAAGCCGACGAUCUGUAGCUGGUCUGAGAGGAUGAUCGGCCACACUGGAACUGAGACACGGCCAAGACUCCUACGGGAGGCAGCAGUGGGGAAUUUUAGACAAUGGGCGCAAGCCUGAUCCAGCCAUGCCGCGUGCAGGAUGAAGGCCUUCGGGUUGUAAACUGCUUUUGUACGGAAAGAAAAGCCUUCUUUUAAUACAGGAGGGUCAUGACGGUACCGUAAGAAUAAGCACCGGCUAACUACGUG
rnacentral:rRNA from 1 species